rnacentral:ribozyme from 13 species
UCUUUCUUUUUUUUUUAUUCUUGCUUUUUUUUUUUUUUUUUUAAUUUCUCAUGUCGCAAAAUUUAUACGAUUUAUCUACCAAAAAUCAACACCAAGACAGAUAUUUGAUAUAC